CGACCGGCGCACGGGUGAGUAACACGUAUCCAACCUGCCGUCUACUCUUGGACAGCCUUCUGAAAGGAAGAUUAAUACAAGAUGGCAUCAUGAGUCCGCGUGUUCACAUGAUUAAAGGUAUUCCGGUAGACGAUGGGGAUGCGUUCCAUUAGAUAGUAGGCGGGGUAACGGCCCACCUAGUCUUCGAUGGAUAGGGGUUCUGAGAGGAAGGUCCCCCACAUUGGAACUGAGACACGGUCCAAACUCCUACGGGAGGCAGCAUG
rnacentral:rRNA from 1 species